ensembl:lncRNA
GCAUACAUUCUUUCCAGCCUAUCUUUAACAUCAGUUGACAAGAAUUAUAUAAUUGCAGUCUGUGAUCCCUUUAAGGCUAAAACGUAUUCGUUUUCCCUCAAAGAACACUUCAGGUUUCAGAGUUAAAUGCAUACAUUUUUUUCCAUCUGGGCUAUUCUGUAAAAAGCUGCUUUCUCCUCAGCUGGCAAGUCCCAUUCUACCAAGUUGCAUGGAUUUAUUUUUUACUGCGGUUUUCAGCUCACAUGUUAACAAGUAGAAGAAAGAGCCUCCAAAUCCCAACCUGUGUUUCCCAUUGCAUUGGAAAAUUAGUGGGUUCCAAAGACCACGCAGGGGGAAUUAUCCUCCUUAGGUGGAACCAAAUAAAAUCUCAGUGUGCUGAUUUAAUCAAAUUAGUGUCUAAUGCUAAUUGAUAGGCAGCCUGGAGACGGACAGGUAGCUGGACUGGAUCUGAUCUCGCAUUUCAGAGGUAUGAUGUAACCCUCUGGGUCAGGAAGGAAUUGCUGUUCUCCUAUCAGAAUGGCAUCUGCCACCGUGCUGUAGGAAGCCGUGGACAUCAGAUACUCAGAUUUUCAUCGCCAGGGGAGAUGAGGACAGGACGGAAAGCAAUCCUUGUGCUUCAUGGAGGCUUUUCCCAGAGCUCUGAAGGUCAGAUGCUCACUAUUCCAGCUGAGGAAUUUGGGACUAUUCGUGCUGCCUACCUUUAAGGUGCCUGUUUUGGGUCCCGAAGUGAUGAUGCUCUUCCUUCAAACUUCUGUGCUUCCUCUGGAAUGAACCCUUAGAGACCAGCCUCCCAGAACUGGGUACGAAGAUCAGUGUAUAACUGAAAUGCCAUCUUGCAGAGCACAGUGACCUCUCUGGAGGGCUGUCCUUGGGCUGUGGCUUCAUGCUCCCCUGUCCCAUGGGAGACACUGGAUUUCCUUCCUAGCCUGUCUCCCACGGAGCACUUUGGAGCACUUAUGCUUCUGUAGUGCAGGACUAAUCUGGAAAGCAGCUCAGAGCACACGUGGGAAGGUGUCCUAUGCAAAGGCUGCCCUCAAGCACCGCUCUGCAGCCCCAGCUUGGCCAUUCACGCCAAGCAGUGAAGGCACCGUGGCUCCUGUUGCAGAGCAUGCCAAUACUUGGAACACGCUCCUGCCAAUAUCCCACAUAAAUCACGCCUUAUCCAGCCCUCCUCAUUCCUUCUGGAGAUUCCUACUUCACUGCAAGUGAUAUGUGAUGGAUCUGUGCUUCCUCGGAGCAUCACAUGGCAGGCAGAUCUCAAUAUGCAUAUUUACGCCUGGAGCUGCACCUCGACUCCUUGGGUUGCAUUGCGUAUGUGUAGCGAUUCCACGGCCAAGACUGCUUGCACAGGCUGGCUUGCAACCUCCGCUGCAUCCUUUCUGUGCAUGGUAACGAGGUGCUUUUCUUCUGCCAUGAGACCUACACGUGUCACGCUCGCUUGUGGCAUCGUCCUCAUUGCAGCGUGUCUUGCCAAGGUUUUGCCUUAAGCAGAGGAAGGAUGAAAAAUGCAGGGCCAGAGACUUUCUUACAGCUGAAAACCGCUGUCUGCUGCGCUGCUCCUCGGGACAGCACCGAGCAGGGAAACGCCUCCGCCACCCAGCAGUCAUUCUCUUCAUAGUGGGACAAGUGCAGAAUGGUGGAGGGGAAGCUCGGAUGGUGGUCCUGUCCAGGGAGACGCAGCCUCAUGUCUCCCACCCUCCUCCGCUUUGAUGACUGAACAUGUAGGACCGGUAAAACUCAAAUUUCAGAAGGGCUUUUUUUGAUAGUUAUAUAAAGGCAUCUAUUCCCGGAUAAGAUCUUCCAAGCAGAUCUUAUCUGGGAAUUAUUUUUGUGGUAGCAAUGGGGUGAUCAUCACAGAACCAUUAAGGCUGGAAAAGCCCUCUAAGUUCCUCAACGAAAAAAACUACUUCCAAUUGAGCCACCUGGACAGUGAUUUGCAGAUUGAAAACAAACAGAAUCUCAUGGUUAAAGAGGUUCCUGAACGGGGGCAGGUGCUGUUGCAUUGCUCUAGAUUCCACUUGGAGAGCUGAAGGAACCAAAGGCACUGACUCAGAGCGUCUCAGCAGGAUUGAUCCAAUACAGACUGAUGACUGGCGUCUACGUGGAGGGAAAAGCUGAAGUCCUGCUCACAAUGGGCAUGCAAUUGACACUGAAAUCUGCUGGACAGAGAAGGAAUGAAGCGUCCGCUCACAGCCCUGCAGUGGCACAGUGAUACUGAAGGCUUCUCAGGACUCGCUGUGCACUUUGCCUCCCGACCUCCUGUUUUGCUGCAGGACCCCACAGAGCACACCCCUGAAAUCAGCCUUGCACAUACAAGGAGUGAAACCAUGGAGGGGAAGGAGUGACCCCGUGAAGGAGUGGAGACGCCAGAGCUGCAGGGGAGAGGCUGCCUGGGAAGUCAGAUGAGGACAGAAGGCAUCAGCCUUUCCAGGAAAGAACCUGUCCUUGCACAUUUCCUCGUGUCUGGGCUUCAACAACGUGAUUGCGAGCACAUGAGAAGAAGAAAACACCCCCCAUUUUGCUGAGCCCCAGCAGGGUGAACAGAGGGAAAAGGUGCUUCAGGGCAGGAAGAAACUGUGAAGAAACAGGUUUGGACAGGAGUUGAAGGAUUGUAUGCCCAAUUGAGCCUACAACUGAAAGCAAUGAGCUGGAUGGACACUCCUGGUAUGGGGUUGGAGGGUGAGUACUACCUGCCUGAGUACCACACCGCUUCCUUUAGGACACUGGGAGAUUUGCUGGAGCUCGCCCAUCUGACCCAAUCCUCCACAUGAGAUCUGGCAAGAUAAUCACUCCAAGCGUCUGGAAAGAAGCCCUUGCUUUCUCCACUGCACCUGAGGAACCAAUGGCAGAUGAUGGAGACAGAAUGGCUCACUGCUCUCAUGGCUGGAGAAGCGGUGGGAAGCUCUUGGCACCACAACCUCUGAGUUAAUGUACUCUGCUCUGCUCGCUGUGCCUCCUUGCUCCCAGCAUGGGCAUGGACUCCUGUUAUGCAGCAUGCCACAUUUUUUUCCUGCGGAAGACACCAAGAUUAGAUGAGAGGACGUGUUCGGCAGCAGAAGAGAAAGUCUCUGGCCAGCACACUUGAACUUUGGCCAGGCUGGCUUACCCAAGCAGUGAUUUUGGUCAACACACAACUUCUGUCCUGACCUUGCCAUCACAGAGGAAAAUGUCCAGUUAUGCAGCCUCCAGACUAAACCGCCACCAGCCCAAUGGAGACAACCUCAUCUGUGAGUGAACUGCAAGUUCGUUUGCCUUUCUUGGAGAUGAAAACCUCUCAGCAGCUCAUGAGAUCGCACAAGAAGGUCUGAAUCCCUCUGCAUGGGAGUGGGUAGUCCCUGUGCUGGCUGAUGUUCCAGUGGAAAGUAGAAGGGGGAUUCAGACAGAAGAGAAAUUCUAGAGGGGAGAAUAGAUGCAAGAAAUUCCUAGGAAUGUCACAGAAACCAACAACCCCCACUCCGCUCCUUCCAAACCAACCCACCUAAAAAAUGCCAUUUUGUGGGCUAUUUUGGAAAGGAGUCCAUGCCUGGGGAAUUUUUGGCUGAUGCUUAUGGCUUUUAGAAGUUUCUGGGAGAUCAGACGAAUAGAAACAGGAACCAGAUGGGACUUCUAGCUGCUGGAAAGAAAGGGAGAAAGAAAGGAAAAAAAAUAAUCCAUCCCUUGUUUAAAAUCUGAAGAGCACUUGUUCACUUUUGGGGAGUUUCCUCUUCACCCUGGUUUUCUUAUUUUAAAGUAAUUUAGCCCGGUUCCAUUAUAUUCUCAUAGGACGUUUCUCUCUUUUGUUGUUGUUGCUAGGAAUUUUUCUUUCUUUUGCAAUAAAAACCAGUUUAUUCUUAGGAGAAUUUAAGCCUUUGCCUUACUAGAUAAAAAGAAAGCCAGCUGUUGGUUUUGUUCUCACAGCAACCUCAACAUCCCUUGGCCAUUUACUCACUGAGUUUAUCUCUGUGUGGCUGCAAAAUACAAAAUAAGAUGGUGGUAGUGAAGAGUAGAGCAAAGUCAGAGAUGGCUCUGAGCUAGCAAAACUGAGUGUGCGUAAUUUCCAUUUUAUGUAGAUGACCAUAAAAGGGAAAGUUGCACUAUUCUGAAAUGUGAGGUGCACUCAAACAUGGACUGCAGAUGCCUGGUGCCCUCAAUGACCCAACCUGUCGAGUAAAGUGUUGGACUUGUAGAGUCCUGAUUGUUGGGUUUUGGGGGGUUAUGGAUCAACAAAAACCCCAGCCUGGUCCAGUCCCAGGCUCCGUUUUAUCAGACCUUGGCUCUGGAGCUGGUUCAUUUCUGGAAUAUAUCCCAGAGGCUGAAUAAGGGCCAAGGAGCAUUUUCCAGCUCCUGUGUCCAAGCUGGACUCCGUGCUGGGAGUCGCAGUCCAGCUGAGAUCUGACACCAUUCUGGAACUGCGCUCGGUUGUGCAUCAUCCCCGUAGUCUUUUCUUUCCGUACUGAUGGGCCAGAGGGAACCAGUGCCAUACAUCAUAUUGUGCCCCUACUCUACUCAGGAGAGUCAUGAGAUCUUAUUCCCUGGCUGGUGAGAAGAAUGGAAAAUAGAUAGCAGCUCAUAGGUGAAGGUGAUAAUUGGCUAUUACCGUAUUAAGAAGCUUUGCCAAUGAUCUUCUUUUAAGCAUUCUGCUUUUAAGGAACUCUUUUAGUGGUUAACAUAUCUUCCAAUUUUCCAGAUAUUUACUGCUUCCUGGAAAAAAAUGCACUCUUCCCAGGAUCCUAUCUUGUUUUACGGUCUUCCUCUCUUAACAUCAUCUCAUAUUAUUUCUCCUGCUCUCUAAUCUGCAGCCAUUCCCAAGACAGGGUCAUCAACACAAUGCAAUGGCCCUUGAUAAACUUUCACCCAUGGUUUGCGUGUCAGUAUGAGAGGAAAUCCGUCCUUGGGACUAAAUAAAUGUGUAUUUCUAGGGAUUGGAUGCUUCACAACCAACACUGAGAGUGUGCUGUGUGUUAUGAUGCUUACUAAUGGUGAUGCACAAAGUCAACAGUAGAUCUUUUAAGACACAAUAGUUGAUGUAAAUGUGCGUGCAUUUGAACACAUGGCUUUGGUUCCAAGGUUCGUCACAGACAGACCUAACUAAGCCAGCUGCUUGAACCCUCUGUUAUGGUGACCAAUUGAUUAGAUUAGUUUAAAUGAAAAAAAUGCCCCCAAAUGUAAAGCUUUGGUUUUGUACAUCCAAUUUGAGCUCCGACUUUGUGGCUUGCUUUUUUCUUUUAGCUCUAGCUGGUCAGGCAGGAUGUCCCAUAUUAGAAUGCUGCUCAGUUGUUGUUGUUCUUUGUGGUUCCAGUGAGCUGUUUUUUUUUCAGAAAUGUCUGGAAGGAAAGAGACAGAGGGGACUUGCUUCACAGGUUUUGUACAAAAGCUUUUAUUUUCCCUUUUUUCCCCCCUCCUUUUCACUUCUCAUGGAUCUGAUGUGCGAGUGCUCUCAGGAGCGACAUGCUCAGAUUCUAAAGCAAAGCGCUUAUCACAUGACUCAGGUGACUGCUGUUGCAGUUGAAGCAGUAUCAUCCUAGGAAUUUUGUUUGAAUUCAGCUGCCAGCUCAAACAAAAGUCAUCUGAGUAGGCAAGCUUUUACUGGUUUCACUUUGGCUUCCCACGUCGGUUUAAUUUGGCCCAUGUUUGCUCAAAAUGUCUCCAGCUGUCUAGAAACUUGUUCCUAGCGUUCUGGAACACUCACAACCCUUUUGGCCAGUGUGACCUUAGUUGUAAAGGCUGGAUGUUGUUUAUUUCAGAUCAUUUUUACUAGCUCUAUUAUACAUAAGGCAGCUCACAUAAUUGUAAGAGACAAAUGUGUUGGUUGCUGUCCUUCUGUUCACAGGUUCUAAGUUACUGUUGUCCACAAUGCUCAGGCAUGAGAUUUCCCAGAGAACACCACCUCGUUUUGUUCCAUGGGAGUUUUUGCUAAUAUUUUCUUUUAUAUUAUCACUCUCAUUGUUUCUCUGCUGGAAACUUUCCAUGCACUUCACAUGGAGGACCAAAGUGUCAGAAGAUUAAAGGAAUGUCUUUUUGCCCAACUAACAUGAACUGCACGCUGAACUAGGCACAACUAUGCACUACUCAGAAAAAGAAAUGCCUUCUAAAGAAGUAAGUGGCUGGAAGGAGGCAGUGAAAAUCCAUCAGAUUUGCAUGACUAAUUAGCUUAUCCACUAGUUAUUAUCCUUGUGUUUGCUUGCAAUGAGAAUCUUCAAAGAUUAUUCUAUAUUGGACAUAUAGCUGACUUUUUGCUUACACAAUUCUUUCUGUACCCACAUAUUGCUGUGAUGGCUGCUCUACUUCAGCAAAUGUAAUUUGCUCUUUAGAUCAGGUGCAAGUCAGGGAGGCCAUAAGAAGGAAGGAGAAAGACUCUUCAGCAGGGUCUGUUGUAAUAGGACAAGGGGAAAUGGUUUCAAAAUAAAUGAGGGGAGAUUUAGGCUGGAUGUAAGACGUUUUUUUACAAUUAGGGUAGUGAGCCAUAGGUAGCCCAGAGAGGUAUUGGGUGCCCCAUCCUUGGAGACAGCCAAGGUCAGGCUGGACAGACUCUGAGCACCUGAUGGAGCUGUGGGUAUCUCUGCUCAUUGCAGGGGAGUUGAAACAGCUGGCAUUUAAGGGUCCCUUCCAACUCAAACAAUUCUAUGAUCUUCCUUACUCAUAAAUGUUGAGAGGAUAUGUGUUGUUCUCUUUUUUUUCAAAAAAAAACUGAAUAUUACCUUUAAAUGACUCCUCAUGUUUCUAUAUAUCCUACAACUAAUUAAACUUACUGCUGGGGAAAGGAUUAAUUUUCAUGUGCUCAAAGCAGGGUGCAGGAAGCAUGUUACCUUGGUGUUCUGAAACGUGGCUGAAAAGUAAAAAUUUGAGGGUUUUUUGUUUUGUUUUGUUUUUGUUUUGAAGUGCCUGCUAGGUAGUUCUCUUAGAAAGGCUGGUAGAACUGAAAAAGAGGACUGAUGUAAUAAAACUGCCUUUUGACAAAUCAUUCCAAAGAGCUGAAUUCAGCACUGUUCUCUUUCUGAGCAUCGCAACCAAGCAGGUUGGUAUCAUUUCCUGUUUUCUGACAUUCACAAACUUCCACUGGACACAAUAAAACACACAAAAGUCAUCUAAUUUUAACAACAACAGUAAGUAUCAAAAAUACUUUCAACCUGAUGAGGCCUUUAUGUAUACAAAGAAAGAAAUAAAAUCUGUGUUUGUUAUCUAAUCUAUCAGCUUCCUCUUAAGAAAUCUUAUAUCCCAGAAUCAUAGAAUAGUUGAAAGAGGGAAUCUUAAAUGCCUUCUAGUCCGACUCCCAUAUCUGAGCCUUAUGUAAUUGAGGAAGCUUAAUUUUCCAGCUCAGUUGUAUUUAUUUUUUUCGUAUAAGAGUUUUCAAAAUCAGAGACAGGUCCCAUGGGGACAUGCCAGGUGUGUUUUGCCCAAAGUCAAAGUUUGGGCUCUUACCUUCACCUACUCCCCUCUCAGUGAGAAUGAAAGAGAAGGGGCAAUUGAUACUCUCUCUAAGCAUUUGCCCAUAAUUUCUGUAAAUUUUUUAUAGGGCUUCUAGGAAAUAUUAACCGUGUGUUGUCUGGAGCAUGAAGUGGUUGAUGCCUCAUCCCCAGAGACACCCAAGUUCAGGCUGGACAGUGUUCUGAGCACCUGAUGGAGCUGUAGGUGUCCCUGUUCAUUGCAGGGGGGUUGGACCAGAUGGCCCUAAGGUCCCUUCCAACUCAAUUGAUUCUAUGUUCGAAGCAUCUGCCCUCUGCUGCCUGGACAGUGGAAAGAGGGACAUUGCAUCCUUGGAAUUGUCUGAAUUUCUGCAGUGCUCUCCAUGCUUUGGGUCUCCCAGGUUCCAUAGGCUGGCAUUUCACAACAAGGACAUCCCCAGAGCAGCUUGGGACCUCCACGGGGUGCAUCACCCGAAGAAAAUAGAGAAAUGAAGACGAAAAUGGGUCCGGCUUUGCCCUGGGGGAGCUUGGGACUACCGAUGGGCACAGAAGAUUCAGCUUGGAAGCCAAUGGUUUAAUCGAAGCAUUGCAUGGAAGGUCCGGUCCUUGGCUGAUUGAUGGCUUGCUUGCUGACAGCUGGAAUGGCUCAUUCUUUGGGGCAGAAACCCAGUGGCAGCACUCAGUGAAGCAAGUGUUGAAGUGUUGACCCUUCCUGAGCCGGAACCUGCUGGGGAGAGUGAUGUGCUGGAGCUAUCCUUGUCCCAAGCAAUAGAGCCAUCCCAUGUUGAGAACAGCCCCAAGAGCAUGAUCCUGCACCCAUGAAGAACACA